ensembl:lncRNA DOCK8-AS2 DOCK8 antisense RNA 2
ACAUAUAUGCUGCAGAACCCUUUCAGGGUGUAUCUGAAACUACUUCUCUUAAAGGCAAGCUGUAACUGGUGCCAGUGAGUACUACUAUCUUUUAUUUAAAUUAAAAACAAAUUUAACAUCACUUAGUCUUUAUAAGAAUGAGAAAGUCCAGAUAAGUAUAAAGAAGAAAAUUUAAAAAUCUAAAUGGUCGGGGUGUUUGGGGGAGCAGAAGAGGAAGAUAGAAGAUUGUAUCUCUCUAUCUUCUUGUCUUGGCUUCUGAACCCGAGAUGUUUUUUAUUAUUGCAGGAAAAGACAGAAGCUGAUUGAGGUCCCAGCUUGGUAACAGUUUGAAGAGUUGCAGGACUGGCUGGAUGAGUACUGGCUGCAGCAAAUCAGGCUGCCAGGAUUCUUUAUGGCUGUUUCUGCUUCCACUACAGCUGAGUCAGAAAGGUCGCUGCCCCGUGGUGGCACUAGACGCAGUGGACCUGGCAAGCAAAUGUUUCCGCUAUUAGCUCUCAGCAACAGAGACUCAUUUAUGGUCACCUUGGAAAUCUGGGCUUAUCGAUCUACAGCCCAAGUCUGCUGAGAAGCUGGAGCUUACUAAAGGGGAAACCUGAGAGCUGUUCAAGCCCCAAAUAUUUUCCACUUCUGCGUCACCUCUGCUGUCUGUUAGCAGAGUGGAGGAGAAAAUACACAGCACAAACAACGUGAAAAAAUAGUUACUCUAUUCAUUAAAAGCUGUAACUUCCAGAUUGGACUUGAGAAGCAAUUAAGCAACAGAGGAACCUCAUCUACUAUCUGUAUUCAGGCAUGCUCAUGAGAACACGCUGCUCCAGCUGGACUUAGAGGAACCCGGUGCAUCACAGGCAUUCCUGACAGAGUCUCGUGGUCCUGCUGGUCCACUCAGUGGUACUCAGUCCUCCUCAUUCUCGGGGAUAGGUUCCAAGACCCCCAGGGGAUGCCUGAAACUGCGGAUGGUACCGA